GGUCUAGUGGUGUAAUGGUUAUCACGUCUCGCUCACAUUUGUUCUCAAUUGUGCACCGAGGAGGCUCGGAGUUCGAUCCUCCGCUGGAUCA
rnacentral:tRNA from 2 species